rnacentral:snRNA from 1 species
UUGGACUUAGAAUAAUUUUC